rnacentral:rRNA from 1 species
GGUAUUUUGACUAUACGAAGGUAUUGAAAUAAGAUUUUAAAUGAGUGCUAAGAGAAUGAUUAAACAAUUAAAAGCUUUCUUUAAUUAAAUAAUUGAAUUUAAUUUUUUUAGUGCAAAAGCAAAAAUAAAAAUUAGGGACAAGAAGACCCUAUGAAUUUUUUAUUAAAUUUUAUAAAACUUUAUAUAAAAUUUAAUUUAAUUGGGGUGAUGGAAAAAGAAUAAAUAUCUUUUUUUUAAAGAAAAUUGGUUCCGUUUUUAGCGAUUAAAUGAAAAAAAUACUCUAGGGAUAACAGCGUAAUAAUUUUGGAUAGUUCAUAUAGAUAAAAUAGUUUGCGACCUCGAUGUUGGAUUAGGAUUCUUUUUUGGUGAAGAAGU